rnacentral:rRNA from 1 species
CACGUAGGAGGCGAGCGUUUGUCCGGAAUCAUUGGGCGUAAAGAGCGCGCAGGCGGCUUGGCAAGUCGGGUGUGAAAUCCCCGGGCUUAACCUGGGAAUUGCGAUGGAAACUGCAAGGCUAGAAUCUGGCAGAGGGGGGUAGAAUUCCACGUGUAGCAGUGAAAUGCGUAGAGAUGUGGAGGAACACCGAUGGCGAAGGCAGCCCCCUGGGUCAAGAUUGACGCUCAAACACGAAAGCUAGGGGAGCGAACGGG